CCAGCAGCCGCGGUAAUACCAGCUCCAAUAGCGUAUAUUAAAGUUGUUGCAGUUAAAAAGCUCGUAGUUGGGUUUCUGACUUGUAGCACCAACUCCAUCCUUUUGGGUGCGUAGUUGUGUGCUGGUUUUGGUGCCGGUCGGUCGUACGUUGCUUUCGGGUGAUGCGCGCUGUCGGUACUUGCUCGCCGGACAUCCUUCAGGAGAACUGUUCUGCCAUUUACUUGGUUGGGGCAAGGACCCUGAUCGUUUACUUUGAACAAAUUAGAGUGUUUAACGCAGGCUUAUGUCGCGAAUAGAUUAGCAUGGAAUAAUAAGAUAGGGCUUCGGCACCGUUUCGGACUUUCGGGUUCGGGUACGAUUUCUAUUUUGUUGGUUUCUAGAGCUGAAGUAAUGAUUGAUAGGGAUAGUUGGGGGUGCUCGUAUUGCUGGGGCCAGAGGUGAAAUUCUCGGAUUCUAGUAAGACGAACUUCUGCGAAAGCAUUCACCAAGGAUGUCUUCUUUAAUCAAGAACGAAAGUUGGGGGAUCGAAGACGAUCAGAUACCGUCGUAGUCUCAACCAUAAACUAUACCAACUAGGGAUCAGACGUCGUUGAAUUAUAGGACUCGUUCGG
rnacentral:rRNA from 1 species